CAGCCGCCACGGGAAUACGUAGGGUGCAAGCGUUAAUCGGAAUUACUGGGCGUAAAGCGUGCGCAGGCGGUUAUAUAAGACAGAUGUGAAAUCCCCGGGCUCAACCUGGGAACUGCAUUUGUGACUGUAUAGCUAGAGUAUGGCAGAGGGGGGUAGAAUUCCACGUGUAGCAGUGAAAUGCGUAGAGAUGUGGAGGAAUACCGAUGGCGAAGGCAGCCCCCUGGGCCAAUACUGACGCUCAUGCACGAAAGCGUGGGGAGCAAACAGGAUUAGAUACCCCCGUAGUCCCUGUCUCUUAUAU
rnacentral:rRNA from 1 species